CCCAGACUCCUACGGGAGGCAGCAGUCGAGAAUCAUUCACAAUGGGGGAAACCCUGAUGGUGCGACGCCGCGUGGGGGAAUGAAGGUCUUCGGAUUGUAAACCCCUGUCAUGUGGGAGCAAAUUAAAAAGAUAGUACCACAAGAGGAAGAAACGGCUAACUCUGUGCCAGCAGCCGCGGUAAUACGUAGGGAGCAAGCGUUAUCCGGAUUUAUUGGGUGUAAAGGGUGCGUAGACGGGUAUACAAGUUAGUAGUGAAAUCCCUCGGCUUAACUGAGAAACUGCUACUAAAACUAUAUAUCUUGAGUACUGGAGGGGAAAGCGGAAUUCCUAGUGUAGCGGUGAAAUGCGUAGAUAUUAGGAAGAACACCGGUGGCGAAGGCGGCUUUCUGGACAGAAACUGACGUUGAGGCACGAAAGUGUGGGGAGCAAACAGGAUUAGAUACCCGUGUAC
rnacentral:rRNA from 1 species